GAGGGUGUAGCUCAGUGGUAGAGCACGUGCUUAGCAUGCACAAGGUCCUGGGUUCAAUCCCCAGUCCCUCCA
rnacentral:tRNA from 1 species